rnacentral:rRNA from 1 species
AUGGAGCCAAGACUGAAGCUAGUUAAAACUGAUCAGGACAAGAAAGUGGACUCAACUCAGUACCGUAGCAUAGUUGGGAGUCUGAGGUAUUUGGUAAACACAAGGCCGGAUCUUGCUUACUCAGUGGGCGUCGUUAGUCGUUUCAUGGAAGCUCCUACGGUGAACCACAUGGCAGCAGUCAAGCUGAUUUUGAGGUACAUCCGUGGCACCAUUCAUCUUGGCUGUCACUAUGGAAGGAAGGAAGAAGAGGAGCCACGACUUGUUGGAUACAGUGAUAGUGACCAUGCUGGUGAUCUUGAUGAUCGUAAAAGCACAUCAGGUGUGCUAUACUUCCUUGGCACAAAUCCAGUAACUUGGGUCUCGCAGAAACAAAAGGUAGUGGCAACAUCAUCGUGUGAAGCCGAAUAUAUUGCUGCAGCUAUCACUGCUUGUCAGGGAAUUUGGUUAUCAUGGCUGCUUGGUGAACUGAUGAACAAAGAGCAGCAGAAGAAACUGAUGAAGAGGGAGCAGCAGAAGGUUUUGAUCAAAGUGGACAACAAAUCUGCAAUUGCGCUUUGUAAGAACUCAGUCCAUCAUGAUCGCAGCAAGCACAUAGAUGUUCGCUAUCAUUUCAUUCGCGAGUGCAUUGAAGAAGGGAGGGUUACCGUGGAGCAUGUCCGAACCGGCGACCAGCUCGCCGACAUACUGACCAAGCCGCUCGCCCGUGUGAAGUUCCUGGAGCUUCGCGAGUGCAUUGGACUCCGAGCGGUGAAGAAACAAGAUUAA